rnacentral:rRNA from 1 species
AUUGAACGCUGGCGGCAGGCUUAACACAUGCAAGUCGAGCGAGCCGCGGACGGGUGAGUCAUGUCUGGGACACUGCUUGAUGGCUGGGGAUAACUCCUGGAACCGGUAGCUAUUACCGCAUACCAUCAGCUGUGCCCAGAUGGGAUUAGCUAGUAGGUGGGGUAAUGGCUUACCUAGGCGACGAUCCGUAGCUGGUCUGAGAGGAUGACCAGCCACACUGGAACUGAGACACGGUCCAGACUCCUACGGGAGGCAGCAGUGGGGAAUAUUGCACAAUGGGCGCAAGCCUGAUGCAGCCACGCCGCGUGUGUGAAGAAGGCCUUCGGGUUGUAAAGCACUUUCAGCGGGGAGGCGGUACUCGCAGAAGAAGCACCGGCUAACUCCGUGCCAGCCGCCGCGGUAAUUC